AACGAACGCUGGCGGCGUGCUUAACACAUGCAAGUCGAGCGGUAAGGCCCUUUCGGGGGUACACGAGCGGCGAACGGGUGAGUAACACGUGGGUGACCUGCCCUCAGCUCUGGGAUAAGCCUGGGAAACCGGGUCUAAUACUGGAUAUGACUCCAUGACGCAUGUUGUGGGGUGGAAAGCCUUGUGCGGCUGAGGAUGGGCCCGCGGCCUAUCAGCUUGUUGGUGGGGUGANGGCCUACCAAGGCGACGACGGGUAGCCGGCCUGAGAGGGCGACCGGCCACACUGGGACUGAGACACGGCCCAGACUCCUACGGGAGGCAGCAGUGGGGAAUCUUGCGCAAUGGGCGAAAGCCUGACGCAGCGACGCCGCGUGA
rnacentral:rRNA from 1 species